rnacentral:rRNA from 1 species
CCUACGGGAGGCAGCAGUGAGGAAUAUUGGUCAAUGGACGAGAGUCUGAACCAGCCAAGUAGCGUGAAGGAUGACUGCCCUAUGGGUUGUAAACUUCUUUUAUAUGGGAAUAAAACGUUCCACGUGUGGGAUUUUGUAUGUACCAUAUGAAUAAGGAUCGGCUAACUCCGUGCCAGCAGCCGCGGUAAUACGGAGGAUCCGAGCGUUAUCCGGAUUUAUUGGGUUUAAAGGGAGCGUAGGUGGAUUGUUAAGUCAGUUGUGAAAGUUUGCGGCUCAACCGUAAAAUUGCAGUUGAAACUGGCAGUCUUGAGUACAGUAGAGGUGGGCGGAAUGCGUGGUGUAGCGGUGAAAUGCUUAGAUAUCAUGAAGAACUCCGAUUGCGAAGGCAGUUCACUGGACUGCAACUGACACUGAGGCUCGAAAGUGUGGGUAUCAAACAGGAUUAGAUACCCUUGUAGUC